CAGCGAUGGGGGGCUGCUUACACAGAGCAAGGAACCCGAGGGCUGGAGGAAAGGCAUACAGAGGCCAGUGGCAGCACCAGAGCCAGAUGCCUUCUCCUGCCCCACAACGGAGGCCAGGCUGCAGAGAGGCGGGCCCAGCCCUCUCCCCAGGGCGGCUGGGGUUCCACAAACAGCUUCUCAGCCGGGUCUGAGCUGCUACUGGCGUGUGUUCCUGGAGGCAGACCCCCCCUUAGUCCCUUGGGAUGCCCAAGCCCCAGGACGGAAUGCAGGCUGCAGGGGGUGACUGGGGGAGGGAUCUGCCAUCCUGUCUACACACCCCUGAUCUGGAGUUACCUCCUCUGUCAGGGGGUGACGGGUGAGGUGGCUGGGGAUGGGGCAUCUUAUCAUCCAAGGUGGGACACCCAUCCACCCCGGAGGCUGGGGUUGCCCCCAGUUCACACUGUGCUCCAGGAAAGCUGGCACAUCCUGACCACCUACUGCGCCAGAGACCCAGGGGAGGGGCUUCGUAUCUGCACAGCGACUCUGGGGGUUAAGGAUGGUUACCAUCAGGCCCAUAGCUCAGAUGAGGAAAAUGAGGCUUCAAAAGUGGAGGGGACUGGUCCAAGGCCACAAAGUUAGCCAGACAGCUGGGGGGCCCUCCAGCUCCCCCCCUCCAAGGUCAGAGGAUGUGGAGGCUUGAGAGGUGAGUCAGGAGUGGGGCAGCUUUGCCCCCUGCACACUCCUCCCUUCUACCCACCCCUGUUAGCUCCUGCCUCGGUUUCUUCUCCUGUACCCUAAGGCCCCAGAUCCACCUGCCCAGCCUGCCCCUGGGGGUCACCUCUCAGCUUCUGUCUUGCGGCAGCUCCCCCAGCUCUGAGUUCUCCAGGCAAGGAACCCGGAGGCCUGCUGAUCCCACCUCCCUGGAGCCUCUGCUUCCCUCCAAAGCGGGUGACUUCAGACCUGCCUCUAAUUUCCAGGGGCACCGCCGAGGCGGCAAACAACGCACACGGUGUCGCCUCACUCUGCUUGGCUGGGUGGGAUGGAGAUGCCGUUCCCAAGUUCGCGGGGCGCCAGCCCAGCUCGGAGCUGGAGAAGUGACAUCGUAGAGACGGAGGUGGCAACAUCCCCGCUCCGGCAGCCCGGCAAGCGCGGCGGAUGGACUCCAGGGAAGCCGUGGCGCGCUGCCUCCUAGAAGCCCUCCUGUCCUCUCCCUGCACCAAAUGCGGAUGCAGACCCAGGCCGAGCUGAACAACGACUUGCAGAAGAGACCCCUGCCGCCGCCUGAGAGCAGCGUGCCCGUAGCCCUCGUCCACAAGGGCCACAGGUGGCGACUUAGCCAGGCCCCUCGGACCCAGAGUAGAGGCCGGGGGCUGGCUCCUCCUGCAGUAGGGAAUUUUGUUUCCCCUCCUAUUUCCUGCCCGGUGCCAGGGCCCAGGCUGAGCAGCCCAGCCUGCCAACUGGCUGGGCUCUCAGCUGCAGGGCAGUGCCCCUGGUCUUCUCCUUGAAGGAGGGGUCCUGGGGGCAAGGUUUUGUAUGUUACAAUGGCAGUAAAUGGUCAAGAUUGUCCAUGACAGAGGGAGCUGGGGCAGCACCUCUGGGGAAUCAGGUCUGCCUGGUCAUCCCAGCCAGGCCCUGCAGCUGGACCUCUGCCUCUUUCAGGUUGGGAAAGAACUGGAUGCUUUGUGGUAAAGCUGGAGUGGGGGGAUGCUGGGGGAAAUGCUGUGCAUUUGAAGGGCAUGGCCUGGUGCCGGACACCAGGUGGGGUAUGGGGCUGUGGUGGCAUCCCCCUGGGAUGCAGGUGUAUCCAUUGGUCAAUGGCAGAUAUGCGCGGGUACAUACAGCGUAUGCCUCAGAGCUGGACCACUAUGGAGCUUGAAUAAAGGUGUUGG